GAUGAACGCUGGCGGCGUGCUUAACACAUGCAAGUCGAACGAUGAAGCCCAGCUUGCUGGGUGGAUUAGUGGCGAACGGGUGAGUAACACGUGAGUAACCUGCCCUUAACUCUGGGAUAAGCCUGGGAAACUGGGUCUAAUACCGGAUAGGAGCGCCUACCGCAUGGUGGGUGUUGGAAAGAUUUAUCGGUUUUGGAUGGACUCGCGGCCUAUCAGCUUGUUGGUGAGGUAAUGGCUCACCAAGGCGACGACGGGUAGCCGGCCUGAGAGGGUGACCGGCCACACUGGGACUGAGACACGGCCCAGACUCCUACGGGAGGCAGCAGUGGGGAAUAUUGCACAAUGGGCGAAAGCCUGAUGCAGCGACGCCGCGUGAGGGAUGACGGCCUUCGGGUUGUAAACCUCUUUCAGUAGGGAAGAAGCGAAAGUGACGGUACCUGCAGAAGAAGCACUGGCUAACUACGUG
rnacentral:rRNA from 1 species